AGGAUGAACGCUGGCGGCGUGCCUAAAACAUGCAAGUCAUACGGGCUACCUUCGGGUAGCCAGUGGCAAACGGGUGAGUAACACGUGGGAACGCGCCUUGGGGUGGGGAAUAACGCUGAGAAAUCAGUGCUAAUACCGCAUAUGGUCUAACGACUAAAGCAGCAAUGCGCCCCGAGAGCGGCCCGCGACCGAUUAGCUAGUUGGUGGGGUAAUGGCCUACCAAGGCGGUGAUCGGUAGCUGGUCUGAGAGGAUGGUCAGCCACACUGGGACUGCGAACGGCCCAGACUCCUACGGGAGGCAGCAGUUAGGAAUUUUCGGCAAUGGACGAAAGUCUGACCGAGCGACGCCGCGUGGAGGAUGACGCCUUUCGGGGUGUAAACUCCUUUUCUGCGGGAAGAUAAUGACGGUACCGCAGGAAUAAGCACCGGCUAACUACGCGCCAGCAGCCGC
rnacentral:rRNA from 1 species